rnacentral:rRNA from 1 species
UACGUAGGGACCAAGCGUUGUUCGGAUUUACUGGGCGUAAAGGGCGCGUAGGCGGCGUGGUAAGUCACUUGUGAAAUCUCUGAGCUUAACUCAGAACGGCCAAGUGAUACUGCUGUGCUAGAGUGCGGAAGGGGCAAUCGGAAUUCUCGGUGUAGCGGUGAAAUGCGUAGAUAUCGAGAGGAACACCAGAGGUGAAGACGGGUUGCUGGGCCGACACUGACGCUGACAGCGCGAAAGCCAGGGGAGCAAACGGG